GGUACCUGGUGGAGGUGGAAGGGUAUUGGUCGCAGAGGAGGAAGCACUACCUUCUGUUGACAUGACUGCUUGGUACCUGCUGACAUCAUAAUGAGAUCACACGGGUGUCCUGUACUGUAUCUCGUGAGUUUGAAGAUGUGGACUAGAAAAAUGGUGUCUGGUGACAUUUCCUUUUCGACGAAAAAAAAAAAAAAGAAAAGAAAAAGAAAAGACAAGCAAGUCCUGAAUCAAAGUCGACAUCGUUCCAUUCUCUCCGUAUCUUGGAAGUCCGGGCUAAAAGGUCAAUCAAGGGCCGAUCACGUGCCUGCCUGUCAUAGAUCAUCCAAGCACCACGCAAAGGUCGCAAGUCUUCGAUUGAAUUCAGCCGACCAUACUAGGAAUGAAGGUACUGGAUGACGAAUGGUUAUGCUGGUCAGCCGGAACUGGUCGUCUCCUUCAUAGGAGUGUGUGUGUGUGCGCGCGGAGAUGGAUAAACACAGCGCAGCAGAUCCUGGAUGGAAUAACCAGUCCGUUUGCAUGUUUCUCUCAACUUCGGCAACAACCUUCCUCCUAAAUACUAGUUUUUAAAAAUCUCAAAUACAGAUGCUCGGUCACGUGGCCUAACCAGACCAGCUGACGUCGACUGCUUCCUGGGAGAAAGUGUUCCUGGUGUCCCACGAGGUGGCAAGUGCUCCGUACAAAAUCAUUUCCUGCAUUAUAGGAUAUUCGGAGCAGCCUCCUCAGGCACUUGAUCUCGAAUGCCUGUAUUUUUCUCUUCCUACCAGCGAGCUGAGAAUUGGGAAAAAAAUACAGUAGCGAGGCAAAGGACGUCGGAACCACAUGGACCCAACUGAAGGGGCUGCCCCAAAUCAGCCCGCUGGCAAGGUGUUGUUGCGGCCCUGUUCCUCAAGGACUAACACAUCUGUAUAGUAAGAUUAAACUGGUUGAGCAACUUGUACUUGGUAGCAAACCUGACUCUGCGAUUCUGAUACAGAUGUCUGAUGCAGCUGCCAAAUAGUGGUCCCUAAGAACCUGAAGCUGUUCACAUCAUCCAGCUGUACUCGGCUCAUGUAGAUUUCUGUUGUUGCUGCUGGUGUCAAUAAUAAAUUUGCUCGUGUCGAUGCAAGUUUACAUUCCCAGCUAGUCCGUUGGUAAAGUCCCACAAUUCACGGUUGGUUCUCGCCAUCAGGUCAAUGCCUCUACAAAGUGCCGGUUGCAUCUGGACCUUCCACCGAUGAAAAUGGUCGUGAAGGAGUUCCCGCUUGAUGUUAUCCAGGAGGAUAUUAAAUAGUACUAUAAUAGUUAUUGGUUGUUGAGAAGCACUGAGCUCAUAGAUCUUCUGGUAAAGCGUUUGGAAGACUUGACCAGCGCCCUUUUCCAUGUUAUUUUCGACACAUAUGUCACAACAUCUGUACACUGCCACAAAGCCACCUCUUGUGAAGAGGUUAACAUCAUAAAUCCAGUCCCUCGUUCUGGAUAGAUGCCUUUAUAAAAUAAUGUGUUGGAAUAAGGAGAAAAUUUACAAUGCUUAAAUAAUAUGAAUACUUACAUACCUCACUAAACAUGUCAUGUGGCUCUGGCGCUCUGCCACUUAAAAAAAAUUAAUGGCUUCUGUUAAAUUAAAAUCUCUGUUUCUGUUAUAGGGUAACCUGAAAUAUUAGUGUUUUCCGUGAGUUCACUGAAGCAGACGAGUUCUCCAUUUCGCUAGGCAUUCCAAGCAUUGCACUAAAACGACUUCUCGCCGCUCAGUUAUUUUCUCACAAAACAUAUUUUUCUUCUAAAGUAAGUUUUUAAUUUAGAUGAUAGAACAUGAAUCUGUCAAUCUUUUCUAUAACUACGAAAUUUUCUCAAAAGCUUCAUUCACCUUUUCCAGACUGCAUUUUCUAUCGAACUAUUUUACCUUUUGUGCAUUUCUAUCCAAAUUACAAUGCUUAAAUGGUACUGUUCAAUAAACACUUGUUGAUUAUCAAGAGAUACUUAUUUACAUCUUCAUCUGUCGUAUCGCUUACUUGUAGUAACUAAUCUUGUAUCUCAGGGGACUGGACAUUUUGAUGAAAUCCUGAGCAUUCCAUGCCAGCUUGUUUACAUGUCUGAUUCCUGGCUUAUUGGUAGUUCUACUAAUAUGACAAAGUAAAUGAACUUGAAAAAUAAAUCCUACUAGAAAAUACUUAGACUCAAUCCUAUCUGCUACCAUCAUCUUAAAAUCAGGUGACUUCGUGUGGAAAAGUUUAUCAAAAACAAUAAUUUACUGUAGUAUUUGCAAUAUCUGAUAAUGAUGCGUGACAGCCAUAGGAAUCACCAUUAUAUAUUCUGUUUAGUAUAAUUCAAUCCAAAGUAGAGCCCAUAUCUAGUCUUAGUCUUAGUACGCCUAUUCACGCCACCCACCCACAUCCGGGCAUUCAAGGUCGUGGACUCUUUCCUUCCUACAACCAACAUCGGUGGUGGUGGUGUGGUGGUGGUUGUGGUAGUUGGGGUUGGCGUCACGUUACCGACAAAAGCAACACAGGCCCGCGGUGGUCAAAGUCUCACAGGAAACGCCAAACUAUCGGAAUCCGGACAAUGCAAGCCAAGCAACGACCUGGAAAAGCUCUCAUGAGCUCCAAAAGGCCCAGGCGCAGGCGACACGGUUCAAAAAUCAAAGUCAAGAGAUGGCGAUAGUAUACUGCUUCUUUGUAUUGACACCCACAUCAAAAUUACAAUGGCUUGUUAUAGAUUUUAAGUUAAAAAAAUGGCUUGCAGGCCGUUAAGGGAAGUGAAUUGUAAAUGGUUCACCGUGUCUAGGCCAGGGUUCAAGGAAGGUAGUACUGCGUCUUCCGGAAAGAACAGAAAGAAGUCUUCUUAAAAACAAACCCGUGGAGCCUCGGGUCGCCGACCUUCCUGCUCUGAGUGAAGCGCUGUAGCCAGUGGCUCCACAGCAUGUUCCCUUUGUUCCCUUCCCUCGCAGUGCUUGGUUAGUUGAUUGCUAUGUGGGAGGUCAUUUGCACUACGAGAGGAGCGGUAGGAAGUCCGAGUACUCGCAGAAAACCCCAACAAUUGCCAGUUAACAACAUUAUUGAAGAACGCAGUUAAGCUCGUCGGCAUGUCAUUUUCCCACCCGCCCACGCAUGCCCCAUUCACCUUGCUCUGUGCAUGGACAGAACGGUACGAGGACCCUGCCCAUCCUCGGAUGCCAUGUAGCCUGGUGGUUAAGAUGCUCGACUGGGGAGCAUAGGAUUGCUGGUCCGAGGUCUGCGGUGGCAAAUUUCCCAUGACUACCCAGCAACUGUCCAUAGUACAUACGGGUACAAGAUGUAUCAGGAAAUGUAAAAAUAACAAAAGUAGAGAUCUGGGACCCGCCGUCCACGCGCCAAAACUGGAUAAACCCCUAAAGCUACUUUGAUGUUGAACUCUUGAUCUCCACUUCUUGACCUUAGUGCCCUGCGUUGCGGAGGCGUCUAAACUGAUUGUUGUUUUUUUCCGAUACAAAGACUCUCCAACUCCCACCUCCCCCGCCAACUGGUUUCUGCCGCACUUGCAAGAGCCCCAGACUACAGACAGCAAACUACUCAAGUCAUCCCCGAUGAAAUGAAGUCUGUCAAGAUGAAGGCGAGGGUGCGUCUGACUCCGUGGAGCUGGAAUUACGUGUUGCCGAGUCCCUGCUCGUCUUCCCCAACACUCUGUCGUGCUUCGCCCGAGGACAAAAGUUCACUCAGUUUCUAGUAAAGUCCUCAAACUUUCUCUCUUUCAUUUUUAUCUAUUUUUUUGCUAUUUGCAAUUCCUUUAAGGUCACUGCCCGCUUCUCACAGUGACCCCUAACCACUACCACCACCACCCCACCCAAUUCCCAACAUCUCUUCUCUCCAGGCUUGUCCAAACCAGUCCUUCCCCCUUUUUCUUCUCCCCAACAACUAAUCCCCCCUCCAUCAAACCCCGCCGCCCGCCAACGAAUGUCUUCGGAACCUUAUUCCUUCGCAUCAAUCGAACUGUCCCCAGCCGAAACCUCUCUGUCCUUCCUGGGAACUUUUUUUUUAUGAUCCGCGUAAACUUGAUUUCGCGUUGCUGCUUCCGCAUUGGGCGCUGCUGACUGAUGGCGGUGCCCGAGUUCAGAUCAGCGGAUGGGGGCGAAGGAUGGGCGGAGGGUGAAGGCCGAGAGAAAGAGCGGGCGAGGGAUCGAUGGCUGGUGGCUGAAAUAGAAGACGACGCCAGCAACACAUCAGUGGUUAGACAUUUACCCCCAGCCUCCCACAAACACCCCGUAACCCGUUCACGUCCUUUGUAUGACCCGGCCACUACGUCAUCAUACGACAGUUCGUCUUUUUUCUUUUUUAAACCCUCGAAUAAAAGUCUUUUUUCUGGAACGUGACUUCAUUUUGUAGUUUUUCCUCUUAAAGGCGCGAGAGGCAAAUUGCAGGAAACCGGGCAAAGGAAGAACGAAAAGAUAAAAGGAAAAAAAAAAUAAAGAAAGAAAGAAAGCCACGCCAACAUUCUUGUGAAUUUUUUUUUAUAAAAAAAAGGUAUUCGGGCAAUAAAUGGGAGAAAUAUGCCAACCACGCUAUUUCUCACAAACUCGUGUCCCUACGUGGGUGUAUAGGGGUCCUGUGUCAAAUCAAAGCUUCCCUGAAGUCUAUAGCCUAAAAACUGGAUUUCUUCCACCACCAUCCUCUCACAAUUUUUCCUACGCACGCAUUGGCAAGGCAACAAAACUGGCAACUUUACUAAUUCCAAUUAAAAUUCGUCCGGAAGGAUGCUUGCUUCUUAAAAGCGCAAGGUAAGCAAGUGCCUUUAGGGGUUCUCGUAGCUGUGGACGCCCUGCUUGCAAUGGAAGCCAGAUGCAGGUGCAGACUCAUCAACAGGUGAAAUAUGCAGCACACAAAUCGUCUAGCGCCGAGCGGGCUUGCGACAUAAAAACCGCUGUUUAAGAGUCGGGAAAAGAUAACGGAACAGGAAAUUCGAGUUCAUAAAGGGCGUUAACAGCGAACUGUAUUUUUUUAUUAUGACUCUCACCCCCACCACAGCCCUACCCCCGCACCAACUGAAACAGGUUGAAUAAGUAUGAGGUCGAAGAGUGUGUUGACGCUCAUGUAUACGUGCACCAACUCUCUCUUCCAUCUCUCCCCUCUCAUUGUCAACAGAUUCCCAAUGUGUGAAGAGACUGCUGGGUUGAGGGGUUGUGAAAAAAAUAUUCACUCUCGUUCUCAGUCAACAAUUAAGUCUACUACUGGUUCCCUGUCGGAAGUAUGGGUAACAGAUAUAAAACUGUCCCUCCACAAAGACAUGACAAAAAUGUCUCAGAUAAAAGUUCAGAUACUUUAAAAGCCUUCUAAAACUAAUGCCCACCCCGCAUAUUGUGAAACAUGUGAAUAUAUUUUGCCCAUAUUUACAUGAUCAUCACUGUAUUAUACAGUCGCAAUCUGUGUACGGUUAAGAACAGUCGGAACUCUUUCACAGUGGAUGAAUAUCAAAACCUGUCGAAAAGUCCAUGGGUAAAUCUCCUAAUGUGAGCACACUAAGGUAUCACCUCAUCUCACCGCCUUAUGACCACCAUAACAUAAAAACAAUAAAACCGCUUUGUGAAUCUGGUGUUCCAGACUAAACUAAGAACAGUCACAGCAAGUGUAUUCAAGCAGGAACAAGUUCGAAUGCCACAACACACUCAGAAAACAAAACAAAAACCUUUCAAUUGUAUUUAAAAAAAAAUAAACAAACAACAAACAAACAAAAGCUGGUGUCAGCGAAUCGUGCAGUAACCAUGCGCGAGGUGUGUUGACGCUACAGUUACAGCCGCCGGAAGACCGUGUACAGCCAAUGGAAGCCAGCGAAGGAGAUAAAAGAAUGGUCCACAUGGAGCCAACUUAACGAGACAGGUGUGAGUGGAGUUACAGGUGCUCCAGGACUAACUUAGUCUAACCCUAGACACCGUACAGAUGUUGCUGUGAUGUGCAAUACCAGCAAUCUGAUUAGGGGGGGUGGGGUCUGCGGUGAGUUGUCCUCACUGUCUGCUAGUGGAGCGUAUGUAGUAGGAAAGGUGACAAAGUGCUGGAGUAUUUCAAGAUGACAGCCGUGAUGGGCCAUUUACAGCUUGGAGCUGCUCAUGUCCGAAGCUAACAAGACACAACCAACUUCACAUCUUUUUCUGUUUACAUUUUGACGCUACAGAAAUGAAAUGCCUGUAACAGAAAAAAAAAAAAA